GACGAACGCUGGCGGCGUGCUUAACGCAUGCAAGUCGAACGCUGAAGCUCAGCUUUUGUUGGGUGGAUGAGUGGCGAACGGGUGAGUAACACGUGAGUAACCUGCCUCCUUCUUUGGGAUAACGCCCGGAAACGGGCGCUAAUACUGGAUAUUCACUGGUCUUCGCAUGGGGGUUGGUGGAAAGGGUUUUUCUGGUGGGGGAUGGGCUCGCGGCCUAUCAGCUUGUUGGUGGGGUGAUGGCCUACCAAGGCUUUGACGGGUAGCCGGCCUGAGAGGGUGACCGGUCACAUUGGGACUGAGAUACGGCCCAGACUCCUACGGGAGGCAGCAGUGGGGAAUAUUGCACAAUGGGCGCAAGCCUGAUGCAGCGACGCCGCGUGAGGGAUGGAGGCCUUCGGGUUGUGAACCUCUUUCGCUCAUGGUCAAGCCGCAACAAUGGUUGUGGUGAGGGUAGUGGGUAAAGAAGCGCCGGCUAACUACGUG
rnacentral:rRNA from 1 species